GUUUGGAUAACAUCAAACCAUUUAGAAUCCAAAAGUCAUGAAGUUGUCAUGUAAUAAUCCUCGCGAGGACGCAAGGACUACAGGAUGGCCGUGCGGUCAUAUCACACGUGUCUACCAAAAGUAGUCAGGCAUUUAUGAGUCAGUAUACUAACGAUGAGUUCGGGGAAGGAAACAAGGAAUGUUUUCGCACCGAGAUGAUUGAAUAUUAUAUUGCAUUUUUUUUAUCUUUAAGUUUUGGGCAGAAUAAAUUAGAAUUCCCAAGCGUAAACACGCAAAGGGUAUUGCAACGUA